rnacentral:lncRNA from 1 species
CCCGAGCAGUGCACACUGCACCUAAUUUGUAGUCUUUUAUCUCUCACCCUUUUUUUUUCUUUUCAAACUUUUGCAAAAGGUGUCCUAGUUCUUGGCAAUGUUUCCCCUGGGCUCUGGUUACAUCAUUAACAGUUGAAUCACAACUAUACCCAGACAGUCACCUGGGAGAGAACUGGGAACUUCAUCUGGUUUGGCGACCACUCCCUCCUCCGGCGGCAGGUAUCUAGCAGCAGGAUAACUGAUAUCGUAAAGGGGACCCUUUGUCAGCUGUGACAUAAACCAGUCUAUUUCCAGCCUGAGCCAUCUAUGCUGCCUCCUUAAGAGUGAAGCCUGCCUACACUUUGAGAAGCUGAAUACAAACUGAAGAUGGAGAAAACCUGAACAUGUGUAUGAACUACUGGGAGAGAACCAGGAGACAGAGAGAGAUCAGAGAUGGAGGAAAAGACAAAUCAGUGUGUAG